GACGAACGCUGGCGGCGUGCUUAACACAUGCAAGUCGAACGAGGGGCGAACGGGUGAGUAAUACGUGAGUAACCUGCCCUCUUUUUGGGAUAAGCCUUGGAAACGGGGUCUAAUACCGGCUAAAGGGGUAUGGGCUCGCGGCCUAAGGGCGUGUUGGUGGGGUGGUGGCCUACCAAGGCGGUGGCGGGUAGCGGGCGUGAGAGGGUGAACGGGGACAGUGGGACUGAGAUACGGCCUAGGCUCCGCAGGGAGGGAGCAGUGGGGGAUAUGGCCCAAUGGGCGAAAGCCUGAUGCAGCGACGCCGCGUGGGGGAUGAAGGCUUUCGAGUUGUAAACCUCGUUCGGUAUCGAGCGGGUAGGUGGCGAAGAAGCCCCGGCUAACUACGUGCCAGCAGCCGCGGUAAUUC
rnacentral:rRNA from 1 species